AUGCAGCAGGGUACAGUGGCAACAGGGAAUGAGAUGGAAGCAAUAAAUCUGCUGAAUUCUACUGAACUCGUGCGUUCCCUGGAUGAGGAGAUAAUAAUAGAAGGAAAUGGUUGCGAGUUAGUUGUAACCCCUAAAAAGCUUCCUGGGACAGAAUUCCAACCUGCCACAUGUGAUGGUGCUGCAUGUGUUGUCAUGCUAAUGGAGAUUUUCUCGGCUGUAAAUUAUGUCAACACGCAAUACAAGCAAGAUGCUGAAUCACGGCAUGCUUUAAAACUUGUGGAUUCCACGAUUUUCUACAGGACUACUGCAGAAGAUGAAGUGGAAGCUGUAUUGGGUGUUUUUCAUGGUUGUGAAGGUGAGACUGAGAUGCUUCAGAUUCAGAACAAGCCGCAUGACCCCAUGAUCUUUAAGCGAGGUCCUACAGUUGAAGAACUCGAGCGGUAUAACUGGACAUCGACAGGAGAUUAUAUCAAAGGGUAUUUCAAAGGAUGUGUUGCCAAUGAUGAAAUAAAGCAUUUGGUUGAGUUUCUGAAAGGCGCAUCUGCAAAUUAUGAUGACUUGCAUUGGGAGCCAGGGCUAUGGGAGGCAGAUAUCAAGAUGCAGUUCAUCAGAGAAAUCUGGUGGCAUGUCGAACAACAGCGGGGUUCAGUGAAACUGAUAGAAUUGAGGGAAACAGAGAAGGGCAAGGUGUUGAACAGCAUACGACGUCCCCUCGGGAUCAUUGAAUGCAUUAGGAAGCUUGCAGAGCCAGAGAAAGCGGCUCGGAUUGUCGAGGCCACACUGCUAGACUCAGUUCGACAUUUGAGGGACAGUGUUGUUGCACACCAUGGUGGUAGCAUCAAUGCCUACCAGGGAGCAAAGGAGGAUGUGCGUGACAAAGUGAACCUUGAAAGACUGAUCCAGAAGGCAAAAGGUGACUAUAUGAUAAAGCUUGUUAGAGAAAUCAGGCCAUUGAAGUGGAUAACCGAGUCUCCGGUGUUGAGAGAUCAAAACAAUUACAUGGAGUGUUUCUACGAGAUGAAGCAAGCAGAAGAGAAAAAACAGAAACAACAAGAGCAGGGGAAGAAACACAAAGGAAAACCACGCUAA
rnacentral:rRNA from 1 species